rnacentral:rRNA from 1 species
GACAGGAGGGGGCAAGCGUUGCUCGGAAUCACUGGGCGUAAAGGGCGCGUAGGCGGGAUGCAAGUCGGUCGUGAAAUCUCUCGGCUCAACCGAGAAACGUCGGCCGAUACUGCCGUUCUUGAGGGAUGCAGAGGAGACUGGAAUUCCCGGUGUAGCGGUGAAAUGGUGUAGAGAGUCGGGAGGAACGACCGGUGGCGAAGGCGGGUCUCUGGGCAUUUCCUGGACGCUGA